GAGUGGCGAACGGGUGAGUAACACGUGGGUAACCUGCCCAGAAGUAGGGGAUAACACCUGGAAACAGAUGCUAAUACCGUAUAACAGAGAAAACCGCAUGGUUUUCUUUUAAAAGAUGGCUCUGCUAUCACUUCUGGAUGGACCCGCGGCGUAUUAGCUAGUUGGUGAGGCAAAGGCUCACCAAGGCAGUGAUACGUAGCCGACCUGAGAGGGUAAUCGGCCACAUUGGGACUGAGACACGGCCCAGACUCCUACGGGAGGCAGCAGUAGGGAAUCUUCCACAAUGGACGCAAGUCUGAUGGAGCAACGCCGCGUGAGUGAAGAAGGGUUUCGGCUCGUAAAGCUCUGUUGUUAAAGAAGAACGUGGGUAAGAGUAACUGUUUACCCAGUGACGGUAUUUAACCAGAAAGCCACGGCUAACUACGUGCCAGCAGCCGCGGUAAUACGUAGGUGGCAAGCGUUAUCCGGAUUUAUUGGGCGUAAAGCGAGCGCAGGCGGUCUUUUAAGUCUAAUGUGAAAGCCUUCGGCUCAACCGAAGAAGUGCAUUGGAAACUGGGAGACUUGAGUGCAGAAGAGGACAGUGGAACUCCAUGUGUAGCGGUGAAAUGCGUAGAUAUAUGGAAGAACACCAGUGGCGAAGGCGGCUGUCUGGUCUGCAACUGACGCUGAGGCUCGAAAGCAUGGGUAGCGAACAGGAUUAGAUACCCUGGUAGUCCAUGCCGUAAACGAUGAUUACUAAGUGUUGGAGGGUUUCCGCCCUUCAGUGCUGCAGCUAACGCAUUAAGUAAUCCGCCUGGGGAGUACGACCGCAAGGUUGAAACUCAAAAGAAUUGACGGGGGCCCGCACAAGCGGUGGAGCAUGUGGUUUAAUUCGAAGCUACGCGAAGAACCUUACCAGGUCUUGACAUCUUCUGACAGUCUAAGAGAUUAGAGGUUCCCUUCGGGGACAGAAUGACAGGUGGUGCAUGGUUGUCGUCAGCUCGUGUCGUGAGAUGUUGGGUUAAGUCCCGCAACGAGCGCAACCCUUAUUACUAGUUGCCAGCAUUAAGUUGGGCACUCUAGUGAGACUGCCGGUGACAAACCGGAGGAAGGUGGGGACGACGUCAAAUCAUCAUGCCCCUUAUGACCUGGGCUACACACGUGCUACAAUGGAUGGUACAACGAGUCGCGAAACCGCGAGGUUAAGCUAAUCUCUUAAAACCAUUCUCAGUUCGGACUGUAGGCUGCAACUCGCCUACACGAAGUCGGAAUCGCUAGUAAUCGCGGAUCAGCAUGCCGCGGUGAAUACGUUCCCGGGCCUUGUACACACCGCCCGUCACACCAUGAGAGUUUGUAACACCCAAAGCCGGUGGGGUAACCUUUUAGGAGCUAGCCGUCUAAGGUGG
rnacentral:rRNA from 1 species